rnacentral:sRNA from 1 species
ACCGCGCCUAGCUCGACGGGGCGAAAGCCAGGGCCCCUUGCCUGGUUGGCGCGGUUCCCCAUCCAAGG